UGCUCCUGCUCCCAUUUGACAGCUGAGGAAACUGAGGCACAGAGAGGUUAAGUCACUUACCUAAGGUCACACAGAAAGCGAUGGUCUAGGGAUUUGAGCCAAGGUCUGUCUUGACUCCUCCAUCAGUGCCCUUUGCUCUUUGUGGCACCGUCAGGAGCAGCAUAUUGGGUCUGCGGGCCAAGGGCCACUUACCAAAACGGCGGGAUUCUCUCUGCACUGCCACCACCCAGAGAGCCUGGCAGGGGCGGGAUGGUCCGCUCCACCCAUCCGUCUGGGCUUCCUCUCCAGGGCUCCUUCCCUCACCGUCUCUUUUUCCAGAAGGGCUCACAACCCCGUCAAGCCGCCAGCGUCACAGAGAGAGGCACCUCCGCCGGCCCGCCCUCCUCCGUCCCUUGCUCUUCCUGCCCUGGGGCCAGGCUGGUCCCUCAUCAUCCACCGGCACCCCCUCAUGGUGUCUCCCCUCAGACGAGGACAGCGCGGCACAGAAAGGCUCACCACAGGUUUGGACUGAAGUACCACCACACACGUCAUAGUCUGCCCCGUCCUGGACCUGGGCUGAGCAGGAUGUGGACAGAUUCCCAAGGAAGCAGGACAGCUGGGCCGACAGCCAGCCAGGCCCGGUCCACCCCAAGCAGCCAAAUUCUUCCCGCCUGCCUCUGACCCACCCUGGGGCUCCGAGAAAGAAGCCGGGCUCCAAAGACAAUUUCUAAUAAAGCUAAACGAGAGGAAGCUCUGAAAUGAGAGCGGGGG
rnacentral:lncRNA from 1 species